AGUCGAACGGAAAGGCCCAGCUUGCUGGGUACUCGAGUGGCGAACGGGUGAGUAACACGUGGGUGAUCUGCCCUGAACUUUGGGAUAAGCCUGGGAAACUGGGUCUAAUACCGGAUAUGACCUUGGAGUGCAUGCUCUGGGGUGGAAAGCUUUUGCGGUUCAGGAUGGGCCCGCGGCCUAUCAGCUUGUUGGUGGGGUAAUGGCCUACCAAGGCGACGACGGGUAGCCGACCUGAGAGGGUGAUCGGCCACACUGGGACUGAGACACGGCCCAGACUCCUACGGGAGGCAGCAGUGGGGAAUAUUGCACAAUGGGCGCAAGCCUGAUGCAGCGACGCCGCGUGAGGGAUGACGGCCUUCGGGUUGUAAACCUCUUUCACCAGGGACGAAGCGCAAGUGACGGUACCUGGAGAAGAAGCACCGGCCAACUACGUGCCAGCAGCCGCGGUAAUACGUAGGGUGCGAGCGUUGUCCGGAAUUACUGGGCGUAAAGAGCUCGUAGGCGGUUUGUCGCGUCGUCUGUGAAAUUCUGCAACUCAAUUGUAGGCGUGCAGGCGAUACGGGCAGACUUGAGUACUACAGGGGAGACUGGAAUUCCUGGUGUAGCGGUGAAAUGCGCAGAUAUCAGGAGGAACACCGGUGGCGAAGGCGGGUCUCUGGGUAGUAACUGACGCUGAGGAGCGAAAGCGUGGGUAGCGAACAGGAUUAGAUACCCUGGUAGUCCACGCCGUAA
rnacentral:rRNA from 1 species